CAUAUCAAUGAGCGGAGGAAAAGAAACCAACAGGGAUUGCCUCAGUAACGGCGAGUGAAGCGGCAACAGCUCAAAUUUGAAAUCUGGCGCCUUCGGCGUCCGAGUUGUAAUUUGUAGAGGAUGUUUCGGCGAGGGCUCCCGUCUAAGUCCCUUGGAACAGGGCGUCGCAGAGGGUGAGAAUCCCGUAUGUGAUGGGUUGCUCGAGCCAUGUGAAACUCCUUCGACGAGUCGAGUUGUUUGGGAAUGCAGCUCUAAAUGGGAGGUAAAUUUCUUCUAAAGCUAAAUACCGGCCAGAGACCGAUAGCGCACAAGUAGAGUGAUCGAAAGAUGAAAAGCACUUUGGAAAGAGAGUUAAAAAGUACGUGAAAUUGUUGAAAGGGAAGCGCUUGCAACCAGACUCGCGCGCAGUUGCUCAGCCGGUCUCCUGACCGGUGUACUCUUCUGCGUCCGGGCCAGCAUCAGUUCGGGCGGUCGGAUAAAGGCCUCGGGAAUGUGGCUCCCCUCGGGGAGUGUUAUAGCCCGGGGUGCAAUGCGGCCAGCCUGGACUGAGGAACUCGCUUCGGCUAGGAUGCUGGCGUAAUGGUUGUAAGCGGCCCGUCUUGAAACACGGACCAAGGAGUCUAACAUCUAUGCGAGUGUUUGGGUGUCAAACCCAUGCGCGUAAUGAAAGUGAACGGAGGUGGGAACCCUCACGGGUGCACCAUCGACCGAUCCUGAUGUCUUCGGAUGGAUUUGAGUAAGAGCAUAGCUGUUGGGACCCGAAAGAUGGUGAACUAUGCCUGAAUAGGGUGAAGCCAGAGGAAACUCUGGUGGAGGCUCGCAGCGGUUCUGACGUGCAAAUCGAUCGUCAAAUUUGGGUAUAGGGGCGAAAGACUAAUCGAACC
rnacentral:rRNA from 1 species